rnacentral:rRNA from 1 species
UACGUAGGGAGCAAGCGUUGUCCGGAAUUACUGGGUGUAAAGGGAGCGCAGGCGGGAAGCCAAGUCAGCUGUGAAAACUACGGGCUUAACUUGUAGACCGCAGUUGAAACUGGUUUUCUUGAGUGAAGUAGAGGUUGGCGGAAUUCCGAGUGUAGCGGUGAAAUGCGUAGAUAUUCGGAGGAACACCGGUGGCGAAGGCGGCCAACUGGGCUUUAACUGACGCUGAGGCUCGAAAGUGUGGGGAGCAAACAGG